CGGGUGAGUAAUGUCUGGGAAACUGCCUGAUGGAGGGGGAUAACUACUGGAAACGGUGGCUAAUACCGCAUAACGUCGCAAGACCAAAGAGGGGGACCUUCGGGCCUCUUGCCAUCAGAUGUGCCCAGAUGGGAUUAGCUUGUUGGUGAGGUAACGGCUCACCAAGGCGACGAUCCCUAGCUGGUCUGAGAGGAUGACCAGCCACACUGGAACUGAGACACGGUCCAGACUCCUACGGGAGGCAGCAGUGGGGAAUAUUGCACAAUGGGCGCAAGCCUGAUGCAGCCAUGCCGCGUGUAUGAAGAAGGCCUUCGGGUUGUAAAGUACUUUCAGCGGGGAGGAAGGUGUUGUGGUUAAUAACCGCAGCAAUUGACGUUACCCGCAGAAGAAGCACCGGCUAACUCCGUGCCAGCAGCCGCGGUAAUACGGAGGGUGCAAGCGUUAAUCGGAAUUACUGGGCGUAAAGCGCACGCAGGCGGUCUGUCAAGUCGGAUGUGAAAUCCCCGGGCUCAACCUGGGAACUGCAUUCGAAACUGGCAGGCUUGAGUCUUGUAGAGGGGGGUAGAAUUCCAGGUGUAGCGGUGAAAUGCGUAGAGAUCUGGAGGAAUACCGGUGGCGAAGGCGGCCCCCUGGACAAAGACUGACGCUCAGGUGCGAAAGCGUGGGGAGCAAACAGGAUUAGAUACCCUGGUAGUCCACGCCGUAAACGAUGUCUACUUGGAGGUUGUGCCCUUGAGGCGUGGCUUCCGGAGCUAACGCGUUAAGUAGACCGCCUGGGGAGUACGGCCGCAAGGUUAAAACUCAAAUGAAUUGACGGGGGCCCGCACAAGCGGUGGAGCAUGUGGUUUAAUUCGAUGCAACGCGAAGAACCUUACCUGGUCUUGACAUCCACAGAAGAAUCCAGAGAUGGAUUUGUGCCUUCGGGAACUGUGAGACAGGUGCUGCAUGGCUGUCGUCAGCUCGUGUUGUGAAAUGUUGGGUUAAGUCCCGCAACGAGCGCAACCCUUAUCCUUUGUUGCCAGCGAUUAGG
rnacentral:rRNA from 1 species